rnacentral:rRNA from 1 species
UACGUAGGGGGCAAGCGUUAUCCGGAAUUACUGGGCGUAAAGCGCACGCAGGCGGUUCGCCAAGUUUGGAGUGACAGUUGUCGGCUCAACCGACAAAGGACUUCAAAAACUGGUGAACUUGAGGACGAGAGAGGAACAUGGAACUCCAGGUGUAGUAGUGAAAUGCGUAGAUAUCUGGAAGAACACCAAUGGCGAAGGCAAUGUUCUGGCUCGUUUCUGACGCUCAGGUGCGAAAGCCAGGGGAGCGAACGGGG